rnacentral:rRNA from 1 species
CAGUCGCCGCGGUAAUACGUAGGUCCCGAGCGUUGUCCGGAUUUAUUGGGCGUAAAGCGAGCGCAGGCGGUUAGAUAAGUCUGAAGUUAAAGGCUGUGGCUUAACAUAGUACGCUUUGGAAGCUGUUUAACUUGAGUGCAAGAGGGGAGAGUGGAAUUCCAUGUGUAGCGGUGAAAUGCGUAGAUAUAUGGAGGAACACCGGUGGCGAAAGCGGCUCUCUGGCUUGUAACUGACGCUGAGGCUCGAAAGCGUGGGGAGCAAACAGGAUUAGAUACCCGAGUAGUCCCUGUCUCUUAUACAC